rnacentral:lncRNA from 1 species
AUGCUCAAAAUUCUCCAAGCCAGGCUUCAGCAAUACGUGAACCGUGAACUUCCUGAUGUUCAAGCUGGUUUUACAAAAGGCAGAGGAACCAGAGAUCAAAUUGCCAACCUCUUCUGGAUCAUGGAAAAAGCAAGAGAGUUCCAGAAAAACAUCUAUUUCUGCUUUAUUGACAGUACCAAAGCCUUUGACUGUGUGGAUCACAAUAAACUGUGGAAAAUUCUGAAAGAGAUAGGAAUAACAGACCACCUGAGCUGCCUCUUGAGAAACCUAUAUGCAGAUCAGGCAGCAACGGUUAGAGCUAGACAUGGAACAACAGACUGGUUCCAAAUAGGAAAAGGAGUAUGUCAAGGCUGUAUAUUGUCACCCUGCUUACUUAAUCUAUAUGCAGAGUACAUUAUGAGAAACGCUGGACUGGAAGAAACACAAGCUGGAAUCAAGAUUGCUGGGAGAAAUAUCAAUCACCUCAGAUAUGCAGAUGACACCACCCUUAUGGCAGAAAGUGAAGAGGAGCUAAAAAGCCUCUUGAUGAAAGUGAAAAAGGAGAGUGAAAAAGUUGGCUUAAAGCUCAACAUUCAGAAAACGAAGAUCAUGGCAUCUGGUCCCAUCGCUUCAUGUGAAAUAGAUGGGGAAACAGUGGAAAGAGUGUCAGACUUUAUUUUUUUGGGCUCCAAAAUCACUGCAGAUGGUGACUGUAAACAUGAAAUUAAAAGACGCUUACUCCUUGGAAGAAGAGUGAUGACCAACCUAGAUGGCAUAUUCAAAAGCAGAGACAUUACUUUGCAGAAUAAGGUCCAUCUAGUCAAGGCUAUGGUUUUUCCAGUGGUCAUGUAUGGAUGUGAUACUUGGACUGUGAAGAAGGCUGAGCACCAAAGAAUUGAUGCUUUUGAACUGUGGUGUUGGAGAAGACUCUUGAGAGUCCCUUGGACUGCAAGGAGAUCCAACCAGUCCAUUCUGAAGGAGAUCAGCCCUGGGAUUUCUUUGGAAGGAAUGAUGCUAAAGCUGAAACUCCAGUAUUUUGGCCACCUCAUGCGAAGAAUUGACUCAUUGGAAAAGACUCUGAUGCUAGGAGGGAUUGAAGGCUGGAGGAAAAGGGGACGACAGAGGAUGAGAUGGCUGGAUGGCAUCACUGACUCUAUGGACGUGAGUCUGAGUGAAUUCCAGGAGUUGGUGAUGGACAAGGAGGCCUGGCGUGCUGUGAUUCAUGGGGUUGCAAAGAGUUGGACAUGA